GAGCAUGGGGAAGUGAGAUCUUUCCUUGGCUGAGGGGUGCUUUGUGCCCUUAAUGCUGGUUUCUAGGUUACUUCCUGGCUGCAGCAGGAGCAGAGCCGGAAGAACCUUUGGGAUGACUUCAACCAUCACCCUCUCUAUCCCCGUCAACAGAGGAGACAUUGAGGUCCCAAAGAAGGAAGUGACUUGCCAAGUUCACACAGCUAGUCAGCAGCAAGGUUGGGAUUGAAAUUUAGGAUAUAUAACUCAUUCAAUCCUUCAUUCCAUACAUUUUAAAUAAAUGCCCAGUAUAUACCAAGAAUUAUGCCAGCCAAGGGGAAAAUGGAGAGAAGACAUGGUCUGCAUUCAAGAAGUUUGUCUCGUAGUGCGGGAGAUGAACAUAUCAUCCUAGAUUUUUACAAGUGGUACAAAGGAAAAUAUCUGGGUGAUGAUACAAGAGACAAAGCAGAGUGGGGGCUUACUCUCUAGAGAGGGUGGUAAGAAAAGGCUCAUCUGAAUAAGCGAUUAUAUUGAGCUUAGAUAAGCAGGACCAGCAGGGGUCAGGUCAAGAGUGUUCCAGGCAGAGGGGGCAGCCUGCACACAGCCCUGCAGGAGGAGAGUUUGGUGUCAUGGAAGAAACAACCACCCGCCAACAUCAGCGUGGUUGAGUGGGGUGCGAGAGGAGGUGCCAGCCGAUAAGGGUGAAGAGUGAGGCAAGGGCAAGGUCAUGCAGCAGGCCUCCCUGAGCCAAGUGGAAGAAUGCCGAUUUUAUUCCCAUUUCUGCCGUGCCGUCUGAAAGUCGUAGCUGUGUUUGUUUAGGCAGCACAGUGUCGGGGAAGGCCAGGAGCAGAACACAGCCUGAAAAUGCAGGGACUUAGCAUGAGAAGGAGAGGGCUUCUGAAGACAAGGGCCGGACAUAGGGUGCAUGGAGCUGCAUUCAGCCAAGGGAGGGGACACAAGCAAAGAAGCCUUGGUGGAAGACCUUUGAGACGGGCACCAAGGCUGUCAGGUGGCAACUGAGAGGGUAGUUUGACCAGAAAGGAUUAAGUAUAUCCAAGGACUGAGGCCAAGAGGCAUUGUCCGACCAGCCAGGGCCUUAACAGAUCCAGAUGGAAGAAGCCAGACUUGGGCCUCAGGCUGGGCCAAGCGUAUCCUUGAUUAAGCUGAGUGUCUGUGAGUUACUUCCCUGCAUGCUGCUGGUGCCCUCAGAAGUCCUGGCUGAGGUUCUAAAUAGUGGUGGAGUGCGGGCUAUGCUGACACACUUCUCACCUGGGAGAUGGGCUGCCGAAGACGCAUAUGGCAAGGUGGCAGGGGGCAAGCAUGUCGCUCCCGUGGAUGCAGCAGGUAAGGAAGGUAGAGGAGGAGAAUGAGGGGGUGGGGUGGGGGGGCUUCCUUCAGCUCAGAUGAAGCAAGCUCUGCCAUUCUUCUCUGGGCUGUCUUCUCUGGCCCUGGCUGUGGAGGUCUGAAACUAAAGGAUCAGCCUGCUUCCUGCUCCAGGUAAGUGUGACUAGCAUGGCCCUGGAGACAGCCCCCCACCCUGGUUUUUCUCCUCUGGUGACCAUCAAAGCUGACAUCACAAUUUGAUUAACACAGUGACCUUUCAUAGGGCCAUUACCACGAACAAGAUAAGGCAUGCCAAGCACUUAGCACAGUGCCAGAGACCCUGGAUGCCCAGUUUAGCUACUGUUAGAUUUACUAUUUACUGGGUCAGAUCUCUUCCAUUAAUGCUAUUUAGCCCCACUCCUUUGCCCUGGGGUGAGCUACUUGACCUUCUCACAUGACCUGAUGUCCUCCUAUCUUUUGAGAACAGACAAUAUAGUAUAGGACCUUUGGUUCUCUGCUUGGUGCUGGCCCAGAGUGACCUCAGCUAAGUCACUUCUGCUCCCCAAGUCUGUUUGGUCAUCUGUCAAUUGAUGUACUUGUUCUAAACCAGAGCUCCCCACUAGAUUGCUGUGCCACAUUGCUGAGUCACAACUAAGUUACCUGUGUGUUGAGGGGGCAAAUCCCUCAGCCCUUGAGAUGCCUGGGUGGGUCAGGAUAGCAAGGUCUCCUCUAACUGCGAGUAGCCUGUGCUAUUGACUCCAGCAUGCAGAGCAAAUAUUGCCAUUUUAUCUGUGUGCUAUAAUGUAAAAAAGGAAAAGUUGACAAGCCCUAGAAAUCAUUCUUGAUAUGCUAAUACUCUGAAUCAUCUCCUAGCUUCAAAACUUGCCUAUUCCAAGAAGUCUGCCCGCCCCCACAGCAUCAUUCAAUGAUAUUUCUUCAUCAGGGUCUUCUCAGCAGUUAUGAGCUGCAUUCGCCUGGAAUGAAUGAAUUAAUUUGUACUUCUUAAUAUGUGACCUGUGGGCUGUUUCCUGUAACAACAAUGGCAAUGACAACAACUCCUCUCACUUAUUGAGCACGUGGGUAGCAGACAGCUCACGAAGUGCUUUGCUAUUUGCUUCCACAAUAGUGUGUGAGGGAUGCGUGCACUGUUGUGUAUGCACACACGGAAAGCCUGAGACUUAGACAGCUGGAAACAAUUGCCCAAAUAGGAAGUGGCUGAGUGAUGACUUGGAUGUGAGUCUGCCUGGCCUGACGUAGUCCGUGCUCUUAAGCAGUUAAGUAGUAUGUCGUGUGUGUGUGUGUGUGUGUGUGUGUGUGUGUGUGUGUGUGUCCUUCUCCCAGUUAAACUAUUGAUCUCCCAAAAGAGAUAGUGUUUUCUGCAUUCUUUCCAUCUCCCCAGAGCUCAAAAUGAUAAUAGUACGAGCUCAGUGAUUACUGUUGGGCAUGUUAGACACUUUGUUGUAAGUUAAAAGUGAAGUAUAGAAUAGCCUUCCCUGGGUCACAGGCAGAAGGCACAACUGACCGCUAGUGUUGCCUGGGUGUAGGUGGGUGUGUGAAGUCUUAUUGGGACCGUGGCACAGAGGAGCCUCCCAGCCCCGCCUGCCCCAGGUGGCUUGACUGCUGUUUCAGGGUAAAACGGACUUCACUAAGGGAAGUUCAGAACUGGAGAAUUCAUAAAGUGUGUCCCUCAAGCCAGGUACCCAGCACAUGAGACUUGGUCCCUGGCUUCCCACAGCUUCUCGUACAGUCAUGUCUUCUCUCUCUUUGAGAGGGGCAAGUAAGAGCCAGUGAUUGUCAUCUGGGAUUAGUGAGUCUUGGUAGCCUGGAGUAGGGAUCACAUAGCCAAGCAGUGCUCACUUGUGACCCUGGCCUCCAGUCUACAGCCCCUGUCUCCUCUCCAUCAGUGCCCUGGGAUUACGUGCUCAACCCUUCUUCCUUCCCUCCUUCCUUGGGUUUAAUGUCCUCACCUGGCCUUCCCACUGCUUGGCUUCUAGUUGGGUCCUAUAAAGGACCUCGGACUCUUGGUGGGUUGUCUUUGAGUGGCCCUAGGGAGCCCCCAUCCCACUCUUCUUUCUCCUGAACAACCAAACCACACACAUAUGUGUGAUGUGGUUAAGAAUCAGACAGUCCUGCAUUUGACUCUCUGCUCUAACUCUGAUUAGUAUGUAACUUUGGAUAAGUUCAUCAAUAUUCGCUUAGGAAAUAUUUACUGAGUACCUACUAUGUGCCACAUACUAUUCCAGGUACUGGACAUGUGGUGAUACAGUGUGGAGUAUAAAACAGGCAGGUGCAUGCUUGUGAAGGUGGUCAGGUAAGGUCUCCUUGAGUUGAAGUCUGAAUGAUGAUAAAGAGGUAAUAUGGAGGAAGAACAUUCUAUUGAGACAGAGGAAACAACCAGUGCAAAGGCCCUGAGGCACAAAAAGGACUGACACAUUCAAUAGAUUUACAGGGUGUUGCCUUACUGGAGAAUGAAUUGCAGAUCAUCAAGAGUGGCAGUAAGGAGACCAGUGAGAAGUCUACUGUAAAGGUCCAGUUGAGCACUGAUGAAGGCUGAGUAUAUUAUAUCUUCUCUCUGAAACUUACCUGCCCUAUUCAAAAAAUGAACAUAACAAGAGUACCUACCUUACAGGGUGGCCAUGGAGAGUAAAUGAGUCAGUAUUUGGCAUGCAGUAAAUGGUAACUAUUAGCAUUAAUAAAAAGGGUAGUAAUCAUAAGUGUGGGCUCAGCUCUAUAAGGCUUCACAGGAGAACUGAGCCUCCAGUGAAGCUGUGACUUUUCCAUUCAGCAGGUCAGGGGUGCUUCCAGGGAGUCAGAGAUCAGAUGCCAGCUGCCCCUUCUGUCACCCAUCCCAGGUUCUUAGAAAAGGGCAUCACUGGAUGCUCAGUGGGGACUGAGGCAGCCACUGCUCAGGGAGGAGGAACAGGUGGCCUUGGGAUGGAGGGCAGCAUCUUCUCCGUGUUAUGGAAGCUGGCAGGCUGAGGAGUGGGGAAGCCCAAGCAACCCAUGCUCCCUGUGUUCCUGAGCCAGACCUGGGAGAAAUUCUCACCUCAUCCAGGGAGACUUUGAGUUGAGAAGAAAGAAUUGAGCUAGGAGGGGAGGCAAGCCAGGGUAUAGAAGGCAAGGAGACAGGCUCUCCUUCUUUUUGACUUUCCAUAACCCAGGGCAGGGAUGUGGGGUAUUAGAGGAAGAGAGAGGGAAGGGGUGAGGGGAAUCACUUCCCAUCUUUGUGAUGAGUAGAUGAGAUGAAAGAUGCUGAAGCUACCAAGAAGGAUUUGGUUAGAUGCCCACAACUGUACAGAGACAGCAUUUGGACCCUACAGCACAUUUCUGCUCGAAUAAACAGGAUCUUCUCUACUGCAGAAAUCCUUCUCUUCCAACUGGUAUUGGGGGCGAGCCUGCUGAGAGGCUAAGAGGGCUCUGAUGACCUCUAGCUCCCGUCCCCACCUGACUGUCCUAGUUGUCUGCAAUGGUGGCAAAGGGAAAUUUUAUGAGCUCUUCAGUCCUCAGGUCUCAUGGGCUUUUGCCUUGCUCCAGACCAUCUCUGAUACACACAUAUAUCUUGAAAAGGAAAAGAAAGAGAGAGAAAAGCUAUUUUAUUUCAUUGCCAAACCAUCCACUUUAAAUACCCUUUUUAUUACAGUAUCUGCAUAGUAAUACUAAUAAUAGAUCUUGUUGGCAGCUCUAAUGAGGCUGGAGAAUAUAAGGUUUCCAAUAAAGUUAAUUGUUGCCUUUAAUAUUCUCAUACAUUUAUACAUGGUAAAUCUUUAAAGGAGAAAAAACACUCCAUUUCAUCCCUUAAGCAGCCGGUCCUAGACUGGAUUGAGACCAACUACAGUAGAGACGUGGGCUGGGAGCUUGACUGUCGGAAAACUUGGAUUAUGAUCUCCAGACUUCCUCCUACCAAGAAGAGCAUGAGUUUUGAGUCGGAGAGCUCUGGGUUUCCAGGGGGUGAGUAGAAGGAGCUGUUUUCCCAUGCCCCACCCACAUGAUCCUGGAAACGGAGAGGAACCCAAGAUGCUCCGGGUUAGGGACAGGCCUGUGUGACCUUGUGUUUUAACAAAUGGAUCACAAACAAUCCAACCCCCACCUCUCCAGCCUUCCUCACCCAGUCGGAGUUCUCCGCUCCACAUCAACGCCUCUCCCGCUGGCAAGUGGUCCCUGCCAGCUCUCACACAUCAAUUUAAGAAACAGGCUGUGGAAGUGAGCAGAGUAGCAGGCUGUGACUGGGAAGGUAGAAUAUGAGAAGGGAAGAGAUGAAACAAUCUUCCCUAUUGCUCCUGUAUCUCUUCAUGGAUGCCUUUACCUUUUAUUUUUAAGUUUUAUUAAAAUAUAAUUGACAUACAAUAUUCUGAACAUAUUUAAACUAUACCAUUUGAUGAGUUUUGACAUACGUAUAUUUGAGAUAAUGAACAUAUCCAUCAUUUCCAAAAGUUUCUUUGUGCCCCUUUGAAAUCCCUCUCUCCUGCACCCCCCACCCCCAAUCCCUAGGCAACCACUAAUCUGCUUUCUGUCACUAUAGAUUCAUUUGCAUUUCCUACAAUUAUAUAAAUGGAAGCUACAAUAUGCACACAUUUUGUCUGCCUUCUUUCACUCAGCAUAAUUAUUUUGAGAUCCAUCUGUGUUGUAGUAUAU